rnacentral:rRNA from 1 species
GACGAACGCUGGCGGCGUGCUUAACACAUGCAAGUCGAACGGAAAGGCCUCUUUCGGGGGGUACUCGAGUGGCGAACGGGUGAGUAACACGUGAGUAACCUGCCCUUGACUUUGGGAUAACUUCAGGAAACUGGGGCUAAUACCGGAUAGGAGCUCCUGCUGCAUGGUGGGGGUUGGAAAGUUUCGGCGGUUGGGGAUGGACUCGCGGCUUAUCAGCUUGUUGGUGGGGUAGUGGCUUACCAAGGCUUUGACGGGUAGCCGGCCUGAGAGGGUGACCGGCCACAUUGGGACUGAGAUACGGCCCAGACUCCUACGGGGGGCAGAAGUGGGGAAUAUUGCCCCAUGGGUGGAAGCCUGAUGCAGCAACGCCGUGUGCGGGAUGACGGCCUUCGGGUUGUAAACCGCUUUCGCUCAUGACGAAGCUUUGUGUGACGGUAGUGGGUAAAGAAGCACCGGCUAACUACGUG